UACGUAGGUGGCAAGCGUUGUCCGGAUUUAUUGGGUUUAAAGGGUGCGUAGGCGGCUUUGUAAGUCAGUGGUGAAAUAUGGCAGCUUAACUGUCAGGGUGCCAUUGAUACUGCGGAGCUUGAGUACAGAUGAGGUAGGCGGAAUUGACGGUGUAGCGGUGAAAUGCUUAGAUAUCGUCAAGAACACCUAUAGCGAAGGCAGCUCACUAAGUCAUAACUGACGCUGAUGCACGAAAGCGUGGGGAGCAAACAGG
rnacentral:rRNA from 1 species